AGUGAUUUUAUUUUGCUGUAGAAGGGGAAUUUUUUUAUGCAAAGUCACAGUUGAAAGUUAUGACACAUAUAAUAACACGCCGUGUUUUGAUUAGGUUGUAUAAUAAGUCACAAAACAAAACCAGUUUGCAUUUUCUGCAUCAUCCAAAACCACUCCGGUUUAACAAACCCUACAUGAGCCUCUCAAUCCCUAGACACCGAAUACCCUCCUCAGACAAGAUGUACUCAAGUGCCGCCAGAAAAUAGUUCAUAACAAGAAGGGAGCAUCCAUCGAAUGAGAGCUAGAUUUUAGAUCACCGGCAUUAUUCCCAGCUUUGGUAUAAUAUUUGCCUAAGAAUUAAACAAAAAGAAGUUGUUCACGAUGAAUUAUUUGCUGCUAUACAGUCGGCCUGUUUGAUGGCGGAUGGAUAUGUACAGCAUUUCCGGCGCACAAGAGGGCAGCUUCAGUUGGAGAAGAAGGGCGGUAGCGAGAGAAGCUCCGGAGAUGAGGCAAGCAUCAAUGCAGACCAGAUAGAACAUCGACAGCUGUGCAACUCUGAUAGAGGACUGGCAUACUCUGUUCGACAAAGCCUCUAUUUUUUCCGAAACGAAGUCAGCACAGAUUGCAAUAUCUGAUCAAAAAAGGAGGUUCCCAAAACAAUAUUCAACAACCAUGAAACGUUCCCAUCACUGAUGACAUCGAUUUUUAGUUAUUUGGCUUAUGGCAGAACAUCCAACUUACUCGGGGUUUGUUAGUAAGGUCUUUUGUUACAGCUGUCCAGCCUCUUGGAAACCCAGACUUCGGGGACUGUGCCUCUGGCUCAGUGGGGGCUGGUUCAGCUUAGUUAGAUGGGUGUGUUGGAUGUUUGGACGAUUGAAUAAUCACUUUUCUAUAGAAAAUUGGAAAUAGCAGCAUUGAAGAUCCCUGAACAACAGAAGCGGUUUACAUCCAGGAUCUCGUUCACAGUCUAAAGAAUAAAUGUUGGGAACUGGUUGUCAUUGACCUUUAAAAGUCACGAUGGGAUACAAUUUUUGACAAGACCUUCUGUACGUCAUGGCUGAAGUUGGUCCCAGUACUAGUACACCCGUCGCUCCAUCCUGUACACAGUAAAAUGUUAAGUAACGACAGACGUUAUACGGAACUAAAAGCUAAAAAGCGCAGCACAUAUCCUUACAUAUCCGUUAACUGUUAAAUGUAAUUCUCUCAACUGAGCAAUUUCAAACUGUUUGGAUUAAAGACCAUAAACAUAACAAUAUAAUACAAUGUACAAAUCUCGCGAACUCCCGACAGGCCCUAGGACAGAUAACAACAAAUGACAAAGACCAGAAUUUUGAUGGUAAUAACCGUGACUUGCCAAAUGAGUUUACGAAAAUAUACGGGACGAGUGAGUGAUUUAGAGCUAUACUGCUUAAAUGCGCAGCAAAUUUGGUCGUAGUUGGUCAGUCCGCAGAAUCUGGUGUACGUGGAUAGCUUGUAAAGUUCUACAGAAGUGAAUACAAACUUCCUGUCCACAGAUUCUGCAGGCUGACCAGGUGCUUCAAAGUAAAAGCAAUUUUUUCUUGACUUCUUUCGAAAUACAAUGGAGAGGUCUUUACCAUUCACACUUGCUAUCUCUCCUAGGAACCAGCCCUCCUCGUAGGCAAUGGCAACGAAAUUGUCGGGGAGGAGCUAGUCUUCCGUCAGUGUGUCAGAGAUUGCCUCGUCAUCGAUUUCUAAAAAACCCGAGUCAUCCAUUGGAGCUUCGGUUUCUUCAACACUCUCGUUCUCCGAGAUGUGCUGAGUGAUACCCUGGUUCUCCAAGACGUGCUGAGUGAUACCCUGGUUCUCCGAGACGUGCUGAGUGGUACCCUGGUUCUCCGAGACGUGCUGAGUGGUACUCUCGUUCUUCGAGACUCGCUGAGUGGUACCCUCGUUCUCCGAGACGUGCUGUUGCCGGACAAGGUCUCUAGAGCCACCAACUGCUGUGUAGACUCGAGUGAAAGGUCGGGGGGACGGCGCCCCAUCUCUGGUGGCGUUGAUAUAGCCUGGUUCUGCCCCUGUGCAUUAAGGGGAGAAAAAACAGAGGGACUUUGUCCCGGGUUAUGGGCUCCCCGGGUCGGUUCCGACGUCGACGUCUGGCUGGUUCAAAGUUCAAAGACUGUAUCUAAGACCUGGGGGAUAAAAAGUCCUCGAAGUGUGUCGUUACCUCCUCUCGUCCUCAUUUGUUGUUCCUGAGUUUAUAGUCAGAAUCGCCUAUCCUGGCAAAACAGUGUAAGGGCCAGAAAUUUUUUUGCCCAACUUGCGAAUCCUUUUGAAUAGAAUGCUUUAGACGGAGUACCUGAUCUCCGAUUUCAUAUGGUUUACCAUGUACCUUUCUGUCAUAAAGCUCUUUUUGGCGGUGUUUUGUUGAACCAAAUAGAAAAUUCAGGGAACCUUAUGUUAGGUCUGCCACAUAAUCGGGGACUGUACUGCAGGUAGAUCGCCGAGUACCUGAUGUACAACCUGCAUUAUCAACAAUCCGUCUUGUUUUAUCAACAAUCCAACUUGUUCCUUUUGUUCCGAUAUGAUAUGUUUGAGAAAGUGUGAACUCCUUCCAGGUCCUGGGAUACGAUUCAUUUUAAGCUUAAGAUACAAACAGCCGUGCCCGUAAUACAAAGUCAGGAAAACAGCCGAAAUCUUGUAUAAUUUGAAUGAACUGGUUUUCAACUAAGCCAACAUGUGUCCUUGUACACUCCUUGUAUUGUCUAAGGGUAUCAAGUAUCAAACAGUUGCAAAAAAAACACUUAUUGGUACAUCCUGUUGGCAUGCAGGCCGCAUUGCGGUGUUUUUUAAAAUUUAAAUUUUUUUUAUUGAAUAAACACAUAAGGGCAAAAUAACAGACAAGUAGCGGCCCACUCAAGUUAAGACAACUUAUAUCGGUGUCGCUAUUAAAAGGAAAAAGAAUAACCUGUGAUGUUUUAAAGAUGCAAUAAAUCUGUACAAAUGGUA